CUUCGUUGCAUGACGAUCCCAAUACGGAUGUUAAACACAACAUGAUCCGAUGAUGCGCAUAAAACCGUGUGGAUAUCUCCGUUGCCUUCCUUCUGAUUCUCUUA
rnacentral:snoRNA from 1 species